rnacentral:guide_RNA from 1 species
ACACAAACAGACAACAGAGAUGAGAGAUAGAACAGUGGA